rnacentral:rRNA from 1 species
ACGGAUGGAAACAUUCGCUAAAACCCCAUAUGCCCUCGGGUGAAAAAGAGAAAGUAAGUCAUACUGAUUUAUCUCUGCCUGAAGAGAAGCUCGCGGCUGAUUAGCUAGUUGGUAGGGUAAAGGCCUACCAAGGCGACGAUCAGUAGCUGGUCUGAGAGGACGAUCAGCCACACUGGAACUGAGACACGGUCCAGACUCCUACGGGAGGCAGCAGUGAGGAAUUUUCUGCAAUGGGCGAAAGCCUGACAGAGCAAUACCGCGUGGGGGAUGAAGACUUACUGAGUUGUAAACCUCGGUACCCUAAGGAAGAAGAUAUGACGGUACUUAGGGUGGAAAGCAUCGGCUAACUCCGUGCCAGCAGCCGCGGUAAGACGGGGGAUGCAAGUGUUAUCCGGAUUUACUGGGCGUAAAGCGUCUGCAGGUGGUUUCUUAAGUCUACUGUUAAAUCUUGAGGCUCAACCUCAAAUCUGCAGUAGAAACUAGGAGACUUGAGUAUAGUAGGGGUAGAGGGAAUUUCCAGUGGAGCGGUGAAAUGCGUAGAUAUUGGAAAGAACACCGAUGGCGAAGGCACUCUACUGGGCUAUUACUGACACUCAGAGACGAAAGCUAGGGGAGCAAAUGGGAUUAGAUACCCCAGUAGUCAC